rnacentral:snoRNA from 1 species
UUGAAUGAUGUUUGCAAUUUAUAACUUUCACAAUGAUAUUUGAAUACAACAUGAUAGUAAUAUCAAAUCUGACAGA